rnacentral:rRNA from 1 species
GACGAACGCUGGCGGCGUGCUUAACACAUGCAAGUCGAACGAUGAACCCGGAGCUUGCUCCGGCGGAUUAGUGGCGAACGGGUGAGUAACGCGUGAGUAACCUGCCCUUGACUCUGGGAUAACUGCUAGAAAUGGUAGCUAAUACCGGAUACGACCCUCGGUGGCAUCACCAGGGGGUGGAAAGAAUUUCGGUCAAGGAUGGACUCGCGGCCUAUCAGCUAGUUGGUGAGGUAACGGCUCACCAAGGCGACGACGGGUAGCCGGCCUGAGAGGGUGACCGGCCACACUGGGACUGAGACACGGCCCAGACUCCUACGGGAGGCAGCGGUGGGGAAUAUUGCACAAUGGGCGCAAGCCUGACGCAGCAACGCCGCGUGAGGGAUGACGGCCUUCGGGUUGUAAACCUCUUUUAGUAGGGAAGAAGCGAAAGUGACGGUACCUGCAGAAAAAGCACCGGCUAACUACGUGCCAGCCGCCGCAGUAA